CACGUAGGGUGCGAGCGUUGUCCGGAAUUAUUGGGCGUAAAGAGCUCGUAGGCGGUGUGUCGCGUCGGCCGUGAAAACCUGCAGCUUAACUGUGGGCUUGCGGUCGAUACGGGCAUCACUGGAGUUCGGCAGGGGAGACUGGAAUUCCUGGUGUAGCGGUGAAAUGCGCAGAUAUCAGGAGGAAUACCGGUGGCGAAGGCGGGUCUCUGGGCCGAAACUGACGCUGGAGGAGCGAAAAGCGUGGGGAGCAAACAGG
rnacentral:rRNA from 1 species